AGGCACAGGAGAAACAAGACACCAGAACUUUCAUUUGAUGAUCCAAACAGCAGAAGCAACAGUCAGGCUCCUCACCCGGACCGCACGUAUGAAGAGAUUAAUGACAACCCAGCUGCACAUCCUGGACCCAGCACUGCUCCUCACCUUGACUGCACGUAUGAAGAGAUUAAUGUUGCUCGUCCUGGAUCCAGCACUGUAUACGCCACUGCUCAAUUACCCACCGUCCUCUCUGAUGAGCCCACAUACGCCACCGCUCAAUUACCCACCGUCCUCUCUGAUGACCCCACAUACUCCACCGCUGAAUUACCCACAAACCCUUCUGCUGACUCCACAGUGAGUUUCAACGAGGGCCCGACCACAGCGUCUGUCACUUUCAGACAGGAGAACUUUGCAAACUCUACCGUUAGUUCAGAUCAGUGAGGGAGCGCACACACAAAACCCUUAAACCGAAUUCCUCUAGUGCCCAGAACAGUAAGGAAGCAAACCCUAAACUGUUGGGGUCGUCUAUGAGCAGUUAGCUUGUCUAUCAUAUAACCAAAAACAUUGAAAGUCCCUCUAGCUGUGCAGGUACAGUAACUGGUGGUAAUGAAACUAAGGUUAUUGUGUUCAUGAAACCAAGGUGAUGGGUUUAAUACCCAGGGACCACACCUACUGCUAACAUGAAUGUGUGUUUGUGCAACACCUUAAGUUGCUUUGGGCAAAAGUGUCCCUGAAUGUUAUGAAGCACUUAGACGCUCCACCUUCCUAUUUAAAUGUACAAUGGUAUAAUAUCCAUGGUUCAUAGAUUCCCUUUCCAUUGCUUUAGAAAUUCUUGCAGUAAUACCAUGGCUUUUUAUUGAUUUAUGUUAUUUUAAAUUUUUUUGGAGGGGGUGGGCAAUAUGCAUAUAAUUAUCUUAUUAUUCAUUUUUGUAUUGGUUUUAAAUGCAGAUGCAGAUGGUGAUGAAAAGCUUGAAGGACUAAAUGUAAGCCCCUACUAUGUAUUUUCAGUACACGGUUGCAUGUUUUGAAGGAGUAAAUGUUAAAUAUAAAGUCCCUACUUUUUUCAUUUGAAGUAAACUGUUACAUGUUUUGAAGACGUAAAUGUUAAAAUAUAAGAAAAUGUUUUGGUUGAGGUCUCUGUGCCGAUACAUCAUGUUACAUGUUCCUGUCCUGUCAUGGAA
ensembl:lncRNA